rnacentral:rRNA from 1 species
CAGCCGCCGCGGUAAUACGGAGGGUGCAAGCGUUAAUCGGAAUUACUGGGCGUAAAGCGCACGCAGGCGGUCUGACAAGUCAGAUGUGAAAUCCCCGGGCUUAACCUGGGAACUGCAUUUGAAACUGUCAGGCUGGAGUCUUGUAGAGGGGGGUGGAAUUCCAGGUGUAGCGGUGAAAUGCGUAGAGAUCUGGAGGAAUACCGGUGGCGAAGGCGGCCCCCUGGACAAAGACUGACGCUCAGGUGCGAAAGCGUGGGGAGCAAACAGGAUUAGAUACCCCGGUAGUCCCUGUUUCUUAUAC